rnacentral:misc_RNA from 1 species
UUCGGAUGACCUUUCUACGUCACCCGGCAAGCGAUGGCCAGAUUACCCGAGCGUGACGUCUGCCCUUCGGCGCCGGCUCAUGCAAGAUCGCUGGCGGCUUCGCUGCUCCCCACCCAGACAAAACCGGGUUCGCGCAUCAUGAGACGAAUUCUCGCCUGGAGAUAUCCGUGGCCGAUGGUCUCCAGCCGCCGCGUCGGCAGGGGNNNNNNGAUACGACGGCGGUCGUCGGGAUCGGUCUGACGCACGAUCAUGCCGCUUUCUUCCAUGUCAUCGAGAUGUCGCGAGACUGUCGCUUCGGUCACGAAGAUCUCGAAAUAGGUCGCGAGUUCCUUAUGCGU